CCAAUUAGUUAUGGUUUACGAGUUUACAAGGCCCAGGCUAUCUAUGAAAUGAGGACAGCUAUCAGACAGAAAUAUUAUACCAUUUAUGAAAGUAAGAUAUAACCAUUGCCUUUAUCUAUGUUAAAAAAAGUGCCAGCAAACGCGGUCAUACUUUUUUAGAAGUAAACAAAUAUAGGAGAUUCAGUAAUUUGUAGUUUUAUACAUGGUGAAAUAUUUAAGCCAACUUAAUACAAGCCAAUUUUUGCAAAUACAGGCCCUAAACAAGGAUUAGAUACCCUUUUAUACUGUAUACAUAAAAAUUCUUCGAGCACUACAACCUUUAUGGUUAAAACUCAAAUAACAUGGCGGUAAUUUUAAAAGUUAGGGGAACUUAUCAGGUAAUUGAUAACCACCAAGGUUAAUUUACUUUAUAUAAUAUUUUAUAUGCCGUCGUCGUCAGAUAUUUCUGAACGAAAUAUCUCAAUAUUAAAAUAAAAAGACAGAUCAAGGUGUAAACUAUGAUAAAGACCAGACGAGUUACAAUAAUUGUGCAGACGAAAAUUAGUAUUUUUUUCCGAAGUAGGACUUAAAUGUAAUAUGUAUAAAAUAUAACCUAUGAAUACAUCUAGAAUUAUGUACAAAUCGCCCGUCACUCUUAGGUUAACCUAAGAUAAGUCGUAACAUAGUAGGCGUAGCGGAAGCUGCUCCU
rnacentral:rRNA from 1 species